CCCCAUGGAAGUGGUAGCAGAAGCCAUCCUACCUAGGGGGGUUGAAACUGGUGGAUUUCUUGAGCCCAGGAGGUUCUAAGCUAUAGUAAGCUGAUUGAAUGACUGCACUAAUUCUGGCACCAAUAUGGUGAGCCCCAGGGCUCAGUAGGCUGCCUAAGGAGUAGUGAACCAGCCCGCAUUGGAAACAGAGCAGAUCAAUGCUUUCGUGCCAUUUGAUAGUGCGAUGAGGCCCAUGAGCGGCUGCUACAUCUGAAACUUGGGAGAAAUAUGGAGAGCUAGUGUUU
rnacentral:SRP_RNA from 1 species